rnacentral:rRNA from 1 species
GACGAACGCUGGCGGCGCGCUUAACACAUGCAAGUCGAACGGAAAGGCCUGCUUUCCCUUGUGGAUUGCGGGUACUCGAGUGGCGAACGGGUGAGUAACACGUGAGUGAUCUGCCCCCAACUUGGGUAUAAGCCUGGGAAACUGGGUCUAAUUCCCGAUAGGACUGCAGGGUGGUUCCUGUGGUGGAAAACGAUUUUCUAGUGGUUGGGGAUGAGCUCGCGGCCUAUCAGCUUGUUGGUGGGGUAAUGGCCUACCAAGGCGGCGACGGGUAGCCGGCCCGAGAGGGUGGACGGCCACAUUGGGACUGAAAGACGGCCCAGACUCCGACGGGAGGCAGCAGUGGGGAAUAUUGCACAAUGGGCGGAAGCCUGAGGCAGCGACGCCGCGUGGGGGAUGACGGCCUUCGGGUUGUAAACUCCUUUCGACCGCGAGGAAGCCACCUGGUUGGAAGGGUGGUGACGGUAGUGGUAGAAGAAGCACCGGCUAACUACGUG